ACGACGCUGGCGGCGUGCCUAAUACAUGCAAGUCGAACGGUCUUUCUAUGGAAGCUUGCUUCCACUGAGAAGAUAGUGGCGAACGGGUGAGUAACACGUGGGUAACCUGCCCAUAAGAGGGGGAUAACAUCCGGAAACGGGUGCUAAUACCGCAUAGUUUUCUUGAUCGCAUGAUCGGGAAAGGAAAGACGGCCUUUGUGCUGUCGCUUAUGGAUGGACCCGCGGCGUAUUAGUUAGUUGGUGAGGUAACGGCUCACCAAGACGAUGAUACGUAGCCGACCUGAGAGGGUGAUCGGCCACAUUGGGACUGAGACACGGCCCAAACUCCUACGGGAGGCAGCAGUAGGGAAUCUUCCGCAAUGGACGAAAGUCUGACGGAGCAACGCCGCGUGAGUGAAGAAGGUUUUUACGGAUCGUAAAACUCUGUUGUCAGAGAAGAACAAGUUGGAGAGUAACUGCUCCAGCCUUGACGGUAUCUGACCAGAAAGCCACGGCUAACUACGUGCCAGCCGCAGC
rnacentral:rRNA from 1 species